rnacentral:rRNA from 1 species
AGAGUUUGAUCCUGGCUCAGGAUGAACGCUAGCGGCAGGCUUAACACAUGCAAGUCGAGGGGCAACAUUUCUAGCUUGCUAUUAGAUGGCGAGUGGCGCACGGGUGCGUAACGCGUGAAACGUGGAUUAAUACCUUAUAACAUCAUUUUGUGGCAUCAUAGAAUGAUCAAAGAUUUAUCGGUUCAAGAGGAGUAUGCGUGACAUUAGCUAGUUGGUGAGGUAACGGCCCACCAAGGCUACGAUGUCUAGGGGUUCUGAGAGGAUGAUCCCCCACACUGGUACUGAGACACGGACCAGACUCCUACGGGAGGCAGCAGUGAGGAAUAUUGGACAAUGGAGGCAACUCUGAUCCAGCCAUGCCGCGUGCAGGAAGACGGCCCUAUGGGUUGUAAACUGCUUUUAUACAGGAAGAAACCGUUGUAUGUGUACAGAACUGACGGUACCAUACGAAUAAGCAUCGGCUAACUCCGUGCCAGCAGCCGCGGUAAUACGGAGGAUGCAAGCGUUAUCCGGAUUUAUUAGGUUUAAAGGGUGUGUAGGCGGAGCAGUAAGUCAGUGGUGAAAUCCUGCGGCUUAACCGUAGAACUGCCAUUGAAACUACUGCCCUUGAGUACAGUUGAGGUAGGCGGAAUGUGUCAUGUAGCGGUGAAAUGCAUAGAGAUGACACAGAACACCGAUUGCGUAGGCAGCUUACUAAACUGUCACUGACGCUGAGGCACGAAAGCGUGGGGAGCGAACAGGAUUAGAUACCCUGGUAGUCCACGCCGUAAACGAUGAUCACUCGUUGUUAGCGAUAUAUUGUUAGCGACUGAGCGAAAGCAUUAAGUGAUCCACCUGGGGAGUACGUUGGCAACAAUGAAACUCAAAGGAAUUGACGGGGGCCCGCACAAGCGGAGGAACAUGUGGUUUAAUUCGAUGAUACGCGAGGAACCUUACCUGGGCUUAAAUGUAGAGAGCAUAAACGGGAAUGUUUUUUCCUUCGGGACUCUUUACAAGGUGCUGCAUGGUUGUCGUCACCUCGUGCCGUGAGGUGUCGGGUUAAGUCCCAUAACAAGCGCAACCCCUAUCGUUAGUUGCCAGCGAGUCAAGUCGGGGACUCUAACGAGACUGCCGGUGUAAACCGCGAGGAAGGUGGGGAUGACGUCAAAUCAGCACGGCCCUUACGUCCAGGGCUACACACGUGUUACAAUGGUCGAUACAAAGGGCAGCUACCAGGUGACUGGAUGCUAAUCUCUAAAGUCGGUCUUAGUUCGGAUCGAAGUCUACAACUCGACUUCGUGAAGCUGGAUUCGCUAGUAAUCGUAGAUCAGCAACGCUACGGUGAAUACGUUCCCGGGCCUUGUACACACCGCCCGUCAAGCCAUGGAAGCUGGGGGUACCUGAAGUCUGUCACCGCAAGGAGCGGCCUAGGGUAAAACUGGUAACUGGGGCUAAGUCGUAACAAGGUAGCC